rnacentral:misc_RNA from 1 species
AAGUCGUAACAAGGUUACCGUAGGUGAACCUGCGGUAGGAUCAUUAACAAAUCCGAGAGGGCCUCCCCUAGGGAGCUCUAUCUGUUCCGGUGGCGAUGCGCUGUGGCGUUCGCUGCUGUGUUCAACAAACGUGCUCUGCACAAGUAUGUAAGUGUGACUUGAAAAAAAGUAUAGUGGGAACAACAAAACAACUUUCAACAAUGGAUCUCUGGGCUCUU